rnacentral:tRNA from 1 species
GCGGAAGUAACUCAAUUGGUAGAGUGUUAGCUUGCCAAGCUUGAAGUUGAGGGUUCAAUUCCCUUUUUUCGCU